GGAAAAUCUAAGUUUGAUAAUUCCUAAAACUCUGUUUAGUUCUAGUGACUAAUUAGCUCUAAGACCAAAUUUUAAUACCUAAUUAAAGUCCUAAGAACUAAUUAACUAGCCUAUUAAUCUGAGAUCUAAUGCUUCUACAUAAUCCUAAUCCUUCUAAUCAGCAUCUAACCAUCUGGAACAUAGAAAUACACAUGUGAGGAAGCGUAUAGGUGAAGUCCAAGAAGAAUUCACCAAACGCGCUUUUUCGCAAAAGCUACACAGGCAAAGGAAGCGCUUGCCGUUGACAAAGUGCUUAAAGAAAACUCCAUGCGAACAUCACAUUCGUCAUCACCCUGACAUUCACCAGCAAACAUCGCUGUUCGCGGACACUUCACCAUCUCGGAUCGUUCAACAGUCUAACGCGAUUCGCGUCCAUCCACCAUCAACAAUCAACUACUCAAACUUACGAAAUCAACAACAUCAGCUAUCCUAAUCUACGGAGCCGAAUCGCAACGGCAUCAACAAAUUACUCGAGCACGACGAAAAAGAAGAACAACAACUCACCGGCGAUGACGACGGGAGGACGGAUCGGCGACGGCUACGAAUGGAUCGGUUUUGAUGUGUCGCCGCGUUCUUCUUCCUUCUGUUUCAGUGCUUGCAAUCUUCUUGAAUUCGGUUAGAAUUUCUCCUUGCCGCGAGCUUCGCCUCCACUUGUAUUCAAUGCUCUUCUUCUUCUACCUUUCUUGGAGCGAUUCCGGUGAGAUGUUGAUUGUUGACGGUGAAGGUGUCGUGAAUCGGUUACGGUGGUUGAAGAUUCUACGAGGAUGAUCGGAGGUUGGUACAGUGAAUGUGGUUGAAGAACCGAGGUGGAAGAGGAGGUUGAAGUGGUGGCUUAGCUCUGCCGUGUGGAGCUUCGGAUGAUGAAGCUCCCACAACAAUGGAGGAUGAGCGUGUGCUGAAGGUGAGGAUUGAGUGCAGAAGCUUCUGGGAAUCAGGGAAAAAUCGUUCGAACCCAAUGAUUGGCAAUGAUUGCCUCUUAUAUAGGCUUGAUCCAAGGGGCAAAUUGGAGAAUCAGAUUUGGGUGGCUCAAUCUCAUUCGUCCAGCUGGCACUUAAGUGAAGGAUUCGUGUUCAGUUUGGUGUAGUGUCAAGGUUAAUAUACAUUGUAUCAACACAAGCAAAUUCAUUGCAAGCCCCCGUCGGUUGCCGUUAUUGCUCGGUGCUAAGUUUAGCGUCUUGAUGCAAGCUUCGCCCUGUCGCAGUGCAGGAUUGUUAUGCUACUAGAUCCGGAGCUAGCCUUAGACAGACGUUGCCGUUUGUGCUGAAAACCGAUUCGUAAGGCCUCGUUUGAGCACGGCUGCAGGUUUGAUCCCUCUUGCACCGCCUCGGAUUGUUGUAGCAUUAUUGUGGGGUGUGUAUGCUGCCGGUAAUGGAAUGGUACGUUUUAUUCAGCAGGGUGUUCAAUCCAUGUUGGUGUCCUUGUACUGAUUUAGCUCUGGUGCAAGCGACAAUCACAAGAUUCCGCAGUAGACUUGAUGGAAAGGUUUGUGUGCUUUCUUCUUGACCCUGUUCUGCCUUGGCUUACUGCAGGAUUUCACUUGGCUUGAUUGGGAUGCUUUUGUGAGCUGAAUUACCUGCUGCCAGUAAAAUGUCAACAUGACGAAGCUAUUAUCCCACACCUGCACAUAGGUAAGAGAAUUUGCCGUAGAUUCACAUGGUUGGUAUUUUAGCUUAUGUUUCUGAUUGAUUACUUCAGGUUGUGAUGCUACUAUGCAUGUUGAACGCCAACUUAUGAUGAUUCUGAGUUGAUGAUCUUCUACAAGGAUAUUCUGUAGUGUCUCCCGCGUGACUUUCACCAGAUACCUUAACCAAGUCUGGAUAUGAUACCACCCCAGCCCAGGGCGUUGCCAAACUCACGGAAUUGACAGAAGCAGCAACAUCAGAUACAAGUGUUUCUGUCUGUGCCUUUCUCUGUUCUUCCAGCUGAAUUUCUAAUAAAGACUUGGCCUUGACACUUGGAGCAGGUUUCCAAGCCUGUCCAGCAGCAACUUCAGCAUUGUGAGUAGAAACAGAACCAACUGCCACAGAAUCGCCUGAAAGGAUUGUUUCGAUAUGUUUCAUGUGAUCCACCGUUAUUUGGAAUGUGCUUAAUUGUUUGCGAGCUCGUAAUUUGCCAUCUGCAUUUUGAUUGUCCAGGUCUCAUGUUUCGCGUUUCGCACAUGCAUUCCCAUCGGCCGUUACUAUCGUGGUUUGAGUUACAUGCUGCUCAACUGGUUUAACUCCCACAUCUGUACCCACCUGUCCAGCCAGUAGCGAUGCAGCCGAAGACACUACAAUAACAAGUGCAACAUGCUGUGCCGGUUUGGUAUGCUCACCAGACUCGGAAACUGCGUUCAAAAGAGUACCACCAGCGCUGUUAUUGUUAUCCGACAUCAGCAGAAAAAGGUUUAGGUGCGAUAUUAGGCUCUUCUGUGGUCCUAUUCUGCUCAUGUAACAGGAAUCUUUCAACAGAAGCUAAUGCGGGCAAUGUUUUCUUCUGGGUGGAAAUGAUUCUGCAGGUUACCGCUGCUGUUUGGUUGCAGGUCUACUUGCGGAACAUUCCGUGAAUGAGUUCAGUAUCAGUUCAUGUCGGUUUCUUGUAUCAUGGCCAUGGUUCAAUUCUGAUUUGUUACUAUUUGUCAUGCCGGUCAUGGUGGUAUGGAGGAGCAAACAUGGCUAAGUAAAGGGUUGGACCUGGCACGGCAUAACAGUGGAAUUUUUGAAGUCACAAAAGUCAAACCAAGGAUCCACAUAGGGCUGAGACAUAGGGUUAGGAUCAGAGAUUAUGGACUUAGGAUUUUUUUGGGAUGGGGUUGACUUUGGUCAAAGUUGACCAAAAAGUCAACCGUUGACCAAGGUCAACCUUGGUCAACACCUCACAUUUUGUGUUUAUCUUGUUUUCUUUUUUUUGUAAUGAAUAUUUUAUCCUUUGUAAUGGAAAUUGAUAUUCAUGAAUGG